rnacentral:rRNA from 1 species
UACAUGGGGUGCAAACGUUGCUCGGAAUUAUUGGGCGUAAAGCGCACGUAGGCGGUUCGUUAAGUCGGAUGUGAAAGCCCUCGGCUCAACUGAGGAAGUGCACCCGAAACUGGCGAGCUUGAGUACGAAAGAGGAUCGCGGAAUCCCCGGUGUAGAGGUGAAAUUCGUAGAUAUCGGGAGGAACACCGGUGGCGAAGGCGGGCACUCUGGGCCGAUACUGACGCUGAGGUGCGAAAGCGUGGGGAGCAACAGG